GUACCGAUCGAGAACCAGAGGAGGCUGAUGGACGCGGGAAGGGGAGCACUGAAGGACGGCAAUGAUGGGGAGUAUCCAGAGUGGUUGGGGGAGAGAGAGAGAGAGGGAGUUGCUGGAGAUGCCGGCGGCAGAGAUAUAGGCGGACAUAGUGGUGGCGAAGGACGGAGGGAACGGGACGCACAAGACCAUCGCGGAGGCGAUCAAGAAGGCGCCGGAUAACCAGUAAUCGGAGGACCAUCAUCUACAUGCGAGCUGGGAGCUUCUCCAUUUCAGGUACGAGGAGGAUAACUUGAAGGUGGUGAGGAAGAAGAGGAACCUCAUGUUCAUCGGCGACGGGAAGGGCAAAACAUUCAUAAUGGGCGGCAAAAGUGUCGCCGACAAGAUGACCACGUUCCACACCGCCUCCUUCGGUAAGUUUCUUUUGCAAUCUUUUAUCCAAACUUCUAAAGUCAAAACUGCUGACUAGGUUAUGCCAAAUUAAACAAUGGCAUGGUGAUUAAUUAGAUAUAAAUUUAAUAAGACACUCUUAGAUCUUAAUUUGACAUUUAGAAUCACGAAAGACAUUCCUGUCAAUAUCGAACUUAGAAAUGUCAAUAAGAACAGAGGGGGUUAUUAGGAAUGCUUGA